GGUAUAGCUCAAGUGGUAGAGCACAUGCUUAGCAUGCACGAGGUCCCAGGUUCAAUCCUUGGUACC
rnacentral:tRNA from 1 species